rnacentral:misc_RNA from 1 species
GGAGGGAUCAUUAAGGCUACCGCAAGAACUGGGGACUUGUCCCCGGUUCCAUCGUGCUACGUUAAAGUUCUCGCCCCUUAACGGGGCAAACCACACUCUUAUCGCAGACUUGGGCGAAAACCACGGUUUUUGCCCCCCAUCUUUACAUGCAAGACAGGCUUUUUUACUCGCUUGCGAGAUUGGCUUUGUUUACGCAGAAGUAUGACCCUUAACGAUGGAUGUCUCGGGUUCAAGAUCGUUGAAGAGCGCAGCAAAGCGCGAUAUUCGAUGUGAUUUGCAGAACAUGUGAUGCAUCAGACUCUUGAACGCAUGUGCACUGCAAGUGCCCUGCAUUUGCAGUAUGUCCGGCUGAGUGCUAACGAUAAUCACCUCGUAGACACUUCUUGCGUCUGCGUGUUGACGGUGGUAUCUGAACCCCGUUCAAAUAGAAGGCUGAAGUCACCCGUGUAGUUGUCUACUUAUGACGGACUAGUUUCCACCAGGCGGACCAAGCAAGGCUGUUCGACUUCAGGGCAGGUUAUGGGCGUGCAUAAAGAUCGAGACUCGGUAAAAGGCACCCGGAAAAUCGGUACAAGAGCCACGGACACAGUAGUCGUACCUCUCAACGCAUGUACUUCUCGGUCUAGAAGCGCUCAAAACGUGGGCAAUGUCCUGUUUUUACCUCUCGUGUUGCGGCCUGUAAUGCAGGGUUGAGUGAAUGCUUUACAUCGUGUAAGCCGAGAAAAUGGCUCUAAGACGUGGAUAUUUAACACGCAGGCCACGGUUCAUUAGCCGUGAUAUUAACACGCAGACCACGGUUCAUAAGGCGUGCAUUUUAAAAAGUACGCAGGAUUUACGGUCAAUUAGACGCAGCAUAAUACACGCAGACCACGGCAUGUAAUCCGCGAUGUAAACGGAUCCACAACCCCACCCAGUAUCUUUUUUUUAGCCUCAGCUCGGAUAGGACCAUCCGCUAGACUUAAGCAUAUUAUUCAGCGGAAGAAAAGAAAACAACCGUGAUUUCCCUAGUAACUGCGAGUGAAGAGGAACAAGACCAGGAUGAAUCGGGGGGGUUUGCUCCUUUCCCCGAGUUGUGUCCUUGAGAUCGGCGUCGGUGUGCGAUUCCCCCUCAAGUUGGCUGGAAAGCCACGCCGCAGAAGGUGACAGCCCUGUUGAAGGGGAAUGGGACCGUGCAUCAUCAGCUGAAUCGCAGAGUCGCACUGUCUGGGAGUAUAGUGCAAAUCAGCAGGUAAGCCCCUGCUAAGUCUAAAUAUGGCUUGAACACCGAUAGCGAACAAGUACCACGAGGGAAAGAUGCAAAGAACUCUGAAAAGAGAGUUAAAAGUACCUGAAAUCGUUAAGGAGGAACCAGUGACAAAACAGCCUGCGUGAAGAGGCCGAAUCACUACACGGUCGAUAACGAACGCUCUCCCUGAGGUGUCUACGGGCACUUUGUAAGCGGGGGGUCAUCGGAGUGGAUCGUGUGGGCACUUCGGUCUUUUCCGUUCAUAAUCCCUGCGUGUUGGGCCUGUUAAGUUAGAACGAUGCUGGGGUUUUUACCUCAGGUUAAGUCUGGCUGAAACACCCCGAUGUUCUGGGAGGUUAAAAGGGGCAGCCCUGCGUGAUACCGUGACUGCUAGUGGGUUGCGUUAGGUAAGCAUCCUAGAUGCUUGCUUAACGUGGUCUACGUGUGUGGCUGCGAUCACUUGCCCCUAUUGAUUAUGAGUAGGAUUGCCACUGACCCGUCUUGAAACACGGACCAAGGAGUCUAACCUGCGCACGAGUUUAAGGGUGCAAAACCCGUAAGCGGAGAGAAAUCGAGAGCAGCGAGAUGCUACUGGCUUUGGCCAGCGGUUGCAUCGCAGGCCCAGCCUGAGGUAAGUCCGAGGGUUUGGAGUCGGAGUGCGCAUGUUAGGACCCGAAAGAUUGCGAACUAUGCUUGCAUAGAGUGAAGCCAGGCGAAAGUCUGGUGGAGGCUCGUAGUCGUACUGACGUGAAAAUCGUUGAUCAAAUGUGAGUAUAGCGGCGAAAGACCAAUCGAGCAGUCUAGUAGCUGGUUCCUGC